rnacentral:rRNA from 1 species
UACGGAGGGUGCAAGCGUUAUCCGGAUUCACUGGGCUUAAAGGGUGCGUAGGUGGGUUGGUAAGUCAGUGGUGAAAUCCCCGAGCUUAACUUGGGAACUGCCAUUGAUACUAUCAAUCUUGAAUACUGUGGAGGUCAGCGGAAUAUGUCAUGUAGCGGUGAAAUGCUUAGAUAUGACAUAGAACACCAAUUGCGAAGGCAGCUGGCUACACAAAUAUUGACACUGAGGCACGAAAGCGUGGGGAUCAAACAGG